GCCGGGCACUCUAGAGAGACUGCCAGGGAUAACCUGGAGGAAGGCGGGGAUGACGUCAAAUCAUCAUGCCCCUUAUGACUUGGGCUACACACGUGCUACAAUGGCGUAAACAAAGGGAAGCAAAGCUGUGAAGCCGAGCAAAUCUCAAAAAUAACGUCUCAGUUCGGACUGUAGUCUGCAACCCGACUACACGAAGCUGGAAUCGCUAGUAAUCGCAGAUCAGAAUGCUGCGGUGAAUACGUUCCCGGGUCUUGUACACACCGCCCGUCACACCAUGGGAGUUGGGAAUGCCCGAAGCCAGUGACCUAACCGAAAGGAAGGAGCUGUCGAAGGCAGGCUCGAUAACUGGGGUGAAGUCGUAACAAGGUAGCCGUAUCGGAAGGUGCGGCUGGAUCACCUCCUUU
rnacentral:rRNA from 1 species